rnacentral:lncRNA from 1 species
GGCGACGUCGGCAUGGAGGGACCCCGCGGAGGAGUCGGCGCUCCCGGUGAGACUGGCCCUCGUGGUGAUGCUGGGCCUCCAGGACCGAAGGGAGGUAAAGGUUCCAAGGGGUCUGGAGGUGACAAAGGAAAAGAGGGUCCACAGGGUCGAGACGGACAGAAGGGUCAGACCGGAGCACCCGGGUUUCCAGGGGACGUCGGCGACAGAGGCUACAUGGUGAGAAAGUGUUGUGUUCAUAAAUCUGAUCAAAAUAUUUUUUGGGAAAAAGCUUUGUGUGGCUAUAAAUGAUCUUUCAAAAUGGUAAUUUGGGAAAAAUCUUUAAAUAUAUAUAUGGUGAUGCGAACGCUAUGCUGCGUUUAAAGCGCUGGUGGAACAUUUAACUAAAUUAAGUGAUAUUUUAGUGAAAUGUCACAAAUUAAUUAUUUUUUUUAUUAAUUUACCUUCGACCCCGAAACAUCAAGGGCAUCUGUGUGUAGUCUUCACAAUGGGGGAGAUUAUAUUGAUGUGUUUGAUUCAUUUUUCACUAAAAAUGAAGUUGUCGUUUCUCUUGUUACGACAAACGAUGACACAGCCUGUGACAUCAUGUUAUUGGGUUUUUUUCCAUCUACCUAGCAACAGGUUACGACCCCUCAAACUCCUCCUCUCAUCGUGAACUCAGCGCACCUAAAAUAAAUUGAAGCUAUUGAGCAUCACAUUCCCUAAUUCACUGUUCCGGCCAUUUUUUUCUUCUCUGUUUCGUCUUUGAAGUUAUUUUACUUCUUCGUUUCUUGUUUCUUUUUCCACCUUCUGAUAAUCUGAGCAGAUUAUUCUCUGUUUGCCCCCGCAGGGUUACCCCGGACAGCCGGGAGGCUUCGGACCCGGCGGACCAAAGGUACCAGCACCCAGAUGAUGCAUCUCCCCGCAUUUUCAGUUAAUCCUCCACCGUGAGGUUGCUUCUCAUGCUGCGUUCCAUUGUACCUCGGAUUAUAAUCGUAGAACUCGCAGUGACCGACCUCCAAGCCAGAAAUUGCAAUUGGGUAUAAUGGAACGCAGCGUAAGCUCCAUCACUAAUCUCAGCAGAGGGGUUUUAGUUUCCCAAUAAGUAGCCUCCAUACUGUCACAGCUAAUUGGUCGGCAAAGGUCGACUUCACCGUGACAUCACAAUGUUCUGCUGAGACAUUCAAGGGUCAGGAACAAGAAGCGGCGAUUGUGAAUAUUCCCAGAUAUCUCCUCCAGCAGGUUCUGACGGAUUCUCAUAUCUUGUCUCCAUGAAACGUUCAAGUCAAGCGGGAGAAAAUACCUGAAUUAGCCUUUUCAGCUUUUACUCAACUCAUUGCCUCAUUUAGACUGUAAUGUGUGUGUGUGUGUGUGUGCGUGUGUGUGUGUGUGUGUGUGUGUGUAAUACUGAAAGUAAAAAAAGAAAGUGAAAAGACUGUAAGCAAAUAGAUACCAACAAGUAUGAUUACUAUGUUUAUUUAUGGGAUCAUACUGGCGACACGUGAUCUGAAUGACUACAGCAGAUAGUUUCUGAGGUGACCCAGAUGCUCUCCGUUUCAGUCAUCUGACCUUUUAAAAAGAAACCAAAACACUUUUAUGUCUUUAUUCUAAAUGUGUAAUUCAGGUACAGUUUUUCUCAUUUGGUAUAUCCAUUGAAAACAACAACUACAACAAAGCUGCGGCUGUUUGGCCACAGAUGAAUAAAGCCAAAAAAAAUAAAAAAAGGAAAAGCUGCAGAGCCUGUUGUUCUUGCACAACCUGUACUGUAUUGACUGGUCCACACACAGUGGACUGAGUGAUCUGGACAGAAAUACAUUACAUUCAUGUAGCAGUGCAAGAAUCAAUAAAGUAAUUCAACUUUUGUCAAAUAGGCAGAAAAUAAACAGCUUCAAGUGCUCAUUUUAGAUUUUUUUACAUUUUUUAUAAUGAAUUCAGAAGUUUUUGGUCCUCUUUUUUUGUCCAACCUUUCUUCUCUGCUCACGUCCCAUUUUUGUUUUCUCUCCUCAGGGCAGCGAAGGUCACGGCGGCCUGCCAGGCAGUGACGGUGACCCCGGAGAAGAUGUGAGUAGAUUAUUAUGAAUCUCCACAAGCUGUCCAGUCGUCUGAAUAUUAUUUAACAUAUUUUUUAACAUAUACCGAUGGUUGUCUUCUCAGGGUCCCAUAGGAGUCCCGGGGCUGAUGGGAGAGCCUGGAGAGUUUGGUGUCAAGGUAUCGAACACUCUGGCUCCUUACUGCGAUUACAUCAUCACCUUGUUACAGACAGAUGGAUAUGUAGAUAGAAUACUUUUAAUCGAUUAGGUUAUUUAAUUUUUUCAAUACAUACAGAGGAUUACGGAAUAUUUGAGAUUAGUUUGGUCUGAAAAUAUAAGAUAUUAAAGAUACAGAUAUAAGACAUGAAACCAUGAGAUGAACCAUGAAAACCUCCACUCAGCAGCAUCAUAACAUCUGUUCUGCUUUUCAGGGGAGCAAAGGGGAUCGAGGUGUGGCCGGUCCUCGAGGCAGAGUGGGCGCUGUGGUGAGUGGGAGCAGCGGGAUGUCGCCGUGAUCAAAAAUUAAACCAGUCCUUUUGAUUCUAAAGUCGCAGGUUUGAUUCCUGAAAGAGUACAUGUGCUAUGGUCAGAUGUCUCCAGAUCCACGCAUGAUUAUGCAUUUUCAACCCUGAACACCUUAAGUUUUCGCAGGAAUAUACAUUUGAAGACAGUAGCUCAAGAAUAUCUAUUGGGAUGUUGCAAGACUUUGCUGGGUGGAAGAUUAGGACCAUCAGGGUUGUUAUCAUCAGGACUUAAUGGGAACUAUAGCUGAGUAUCGUCUAUAUGCUUUAGGAGAUUCAUUUUAAUACUAUACUAACAGAGCCCAGAGAAAACAUUUGAUUUAAAAAAAAAAAACCUUGUUCACGUGAUUCUCAUGAGUCAAACUGACUCUGAAACUUUAACUACCGGGAAAAAACCUGCAGCUCUGGGUUUUAACGGACAAUUAUAUCAAGAGAAAAAUAUGUCAGAAACUAACUAAAUCAAAAUAGAGCUGUUAAUCAUACUUCCUCCAAGUUUGACAUUUUGGAUAUUCAAGGGUUUUACCCAGUGAAGCUUUUACUUCCAGUUCCUGUCUCGUACUGCGAGAACUAGAUCGCUUUCACAUCAUUUGUAUUAUUUAGAAUGGCGUUGAUUGAUUGAUUGUUUUUGUGUUUUGUGUGUUUUGUCCAUCAGGGAGCUGAAGGAGGACAGGGAGACGCUGGAGUGCCAGGGAAACCCGGGCCGAAGGGCCUGCAGGCCCAGCCGGUGUGUACACACAACGCUCAGAGUUACAACACACAAAAACACAAAAUCCAGAUCACUUAUGAAUAUAUAUCGAGUUCAUGUCAGGCCUCAGGUGGUUCUUCUCUCCGUCCACAGAGAAGAUCUCAACUCUAAUCUCAUAUUUAAUCGCACUUUUUCAGUACAAAGUUCAAGCUAGGCUUUUAUGAUAUCUACUGUAUCGUAGUGUUUGUUCCACCGUGUCUUAAUGUGGACACAGAUGAGCCUUUUUAAUUUUAAAUUAACUUAAAUUAAAAGUUCUCUUGUAUUUCCACCCCUGGAUAACUCCAGUUUAAGUCCGGAUUUGUGUUUUUGUCAUUAACCUGACGAGCUCCUUGUUGUUUCUUUUAUCCAGGGGGCCAAAGGUGAGACGGGACCUGAUGGUGACAAGGUGAGCUCUUCAAUAAUAACUGUGAAAUGCCGAUGAGAUCACAACAACAGAGAGAAAAAAGGAAAAG